UAAACGCUUGGGCUCUGGGGUUUUCCUUCGCAGAGAUGCAGUCAUACUAGUCAAACUACUUUUGAGAAAACAAUAAGUAAUUUCUGAAAAAUGCAACCGGUCUUGAUAUAUUUCGUUUUUGCAUUUGUCUGUCUUUGCAACUUAGGAAUAAAGUGUAAAUAAUUAUUUUUCAUUUGUUUGCUAGACCUUUGCAGUGUUCUAAUGCUUUUUUGCUGAACGAGUAGUUCCAGGGGAAAGGAGGAGGGCCCAAGCCAUCACAAGUGCAAGCUUGCUGGAAAAAGAAGCUGUUUUAUGAUCGAGCUGGAGCAGAUGUACUGUCAUGAUCAAACGGCACAUAAAUGUGGCAAAGGGCUCUGCUUUGAAAUGCACUGCAGCAAAUUCAGUUGUUUAAACAGCAAUGGAAGGAUUUUUUUUUAACUCUGUACUUCUGAAGACUAUACAAUAUUGCAUUAUUAUAAAUAACUAUGUCAGUGCAAAGUCUUUUAAGUGUUAUUUCCCUCCCCAAGAAAGUAUUACUAGCUCACAUAACUUUUUAAAGCACUUGUUUGCGGACUGAUAUGACCCUUUCCAUCUUGCUUACUGCCUUAAACCACAUACGUUUGCCAUGCCCACAAUUUUACGUUCUGGGUCUAUUUGUAGUGUUGUUUUCUUUUUAAAGAAAGACUAUGUAUUGUAAGUGCUUGCCUUAAGCAAUUCUGUGGUAACCUGUGGUUACAGAGUGUCCCUCACUGAGAUAAGUCUGGCAAAAUAACCUUUUUGUGACCUUUCAAGAGGACCUUUUCAGUUUAGUCUGACUGUACUGGCACUGCCUCGGUUGUCUGGGUGCAUCCUGAACUUUUAUCUCCACUUUGUUAGGGUAUUUAUCAUGUUAAGAUUAGUUCAUGACCUAGGAGCAUCAUCGUCUUAUUUGAUGUUUUAUGGCUAUGCCCAGACUCAAGGCUAAACAGAGGACCCACAAGAAAGUUGGAAAGGGUAGGAAGAAAAAAGAAAAGAUUCCAACUAGCAUGUGGCUGGAUAAGGAAGGGCUCAUUAAUCAUCCUUAUAAACACAGAUGGACAGAUUCGGAGAGAUGCUUGGUUUGCAUUUGAUGAGCUGUUAACUGUAAUGGUGCACAAUAUGCUUGCAGAUGAUAAUUUAUAACAUGCUCAUUACUUUAUUAGGCUGCAGUUGACUUGUGACAAGAUAAUGAUCCUCUGGUAUGCAUACAUAUGAAAUGGGUGUAGGGUUACAGAAAUUACAAAUAAAGAAUAAAUAAAUAAAAUUCACAAACCUGCAAGUUUCGGUUCAGGAAGAGGAAGUUGGCUUGAAGAACUUGGCUUGAGGAGACUGCCAAGGCCAUAGCUGUUAUAUAUUCUGGGCUGUUUGCUAUGAACAAAAAACAUGGUGCUCUUUCAGUGCAUGUGACUUUUCUCAUAAGUGUAGUUCAUCUGAAAGUGUUUUGCAUGCAAUACCUCACUUGACAAAAUCUUUGCUCAAAGUGAAACUGCUGUAUUAGUACUUGUACCUCUACAGUAUUAGAUUUCUACACGUUUAAAGAUUUAAUGUAAUGCAUUAAAACAUUGUUUUCCUUUCAGCAUUGAUGGAAUAUUUUGGAUUCAAUUUAAGUGCAAUUAAUGUAACGUUGAUUACCUCAUAAUGUAAAUUCAACUCAUGCAUAAUUUUCUUUAAAAAAAAAGAAAUGUAAAAAUUAUGGAUACAUGAGAUACUUACAAUGGUACUAAAUCCAGCCCAAGUCAUUACUAUUUACAAACUAUUACAUGCACUUUAAAAUCAGGUUUCCAUCUGUAUUGUUUAUGUAUUGUGGGAAUAGAGGGGAGCACCCCUCUUUAUCAUACACAGAAACAAAGCCCAUAAUGACAUAUUUCACAGCAGAUUAGCUUUUUUGUUUGGCCCGUGGACUCUUAUGUUCCUUACAUGACCCUUUGUAUUGUCUUCUAGAGUCCCAGGAGAUACAAUAGUGUGCACAAUGUAUAGAUGACAUUGUUUUGCUACAGAAUUCGUUUGUGUGUACAAAAAACAGUGUACAUGGUCAAAUGUUCUCACUUGAACAAUAGAUCAGACAUUGGUUCAAGUGUGCAUUAAAGCAGUAAACUCCUAGAACACCCUGCUCCCAGGUUUAUAGCAAAUACAUGCAAAAUUAAACUGACUCGUCAGCCAUUUUUCUUUCCUCUUUGCUGGGUUAUUUACAGACAUGACAUCCUGUGCAGUCAUCCUGCCCCGUGGUGUAGGUGGACGGUUUGGAUGGGUGGGACCUGGGCACUUCUGCCCUGUGCUGGGCACAUUGCCAAGGCUGGGACGGGGUGGGGCUCAGUGUGAGGGUGAUGGCUUCACAACAGGGAUUCGACUCUCUCUGACUAAAACUAUAUUCCGUUCCACACCCCUGGCCUGCUUCCUUGUAACCGGAAUAUAUGUUAGAUGCCCGAGAGUGCAUGGGCAUGGCUGACCCACUUGCCAUUCAGUAUAUGCACCUGCUAGUUAAUUGGGAAUGAUGUUAUGCGGGGAUCAUAUGAAUUGUAUAUGUGCCCCUAUGUUUAUGUUUGAGAGAAGAUUAGUAUAAACGGACGUUUAACCAUUUAUCUAUAUACAUCAGUUCUGUCCACAGCAUGUUUCUUUUCUGAUUUUUACUGUCAGCCUCCUGUGUGAGUGGUAGAAACCAUGCUUUGGUGCUCUCUCUCUCACUUAAAUAUGAUAGGCUGAAGUGCUGAAGCCCCCUGGGUGUUUCAUCAUGCACUCAUCCACCCUUUUGCAGGUAUCCAUCUCUCCUGAAUCAGCCCUGACUGAGGGGAAUACAGUUCUCUUAUUUUUCAUUCAGAAGAAAAGCAUACAGUCUUUAGCUGCUACCUAUAAAAAGUCUGACUUUACGAUACAUUCAACCAAGUCAGUCAUAGUUAACACACCAUAGAAUUGGUCUUAGGCCACCGCUUCUAUAAGUACUUUUCAAACUCUGCUGAACUUAUGUAUACUUUAGUUAGCUUUGGCAGAGCCUUAUAAAAGCAAGUCUGUUCCUUCGUAACCAUCCCCCUAUUACCCUGUGUCUUCUCCCCCCACCCAUAAGGGCGUAAGUUGACAGAACUACUGAAGCAUUGUAUAGUUUGAGCUCUUUUGCUUUCUUAAAUCUACUAUGUAUGGGUGUCGAUUUCUCUGUGGAGGAAGAAGGGGAUCUGGAGCUGAUGUGGAGCUGUAUUUUCAGGUUCCUGAAGCAUGAGCCGCCAGCUUAGGGUCUCACGCAAACUCUGCGUGGGGCACUAACACUGCAAUUUGUGGGUGGGGAUGUACUGUAUGGAAAGGCAGAAGUGUGGGGGUGGGUACAGGGUGGGACCCGUUGUCAAAGCCCUCCAUUGAAGUAGGUCACUUGCUCAGCUGCAUCUGCUGGCAAACUGAUUUGGUGUUUCUCUGCAGUAGCAGUGCAUGCAUUUGGGUUUUUGAGAUGAGGAUUGAGGGGAGAAAAAAAAAAAGAAACUGAGAGAGGUUGCUUUCUGCUGUGUGCCAGAACCUUGGUUGCCUCCCAGGCUUUUAUAUUGACAUUAGCUCUUGCCAGUUUGACCCCUUACUGUCUAAUAAAUCUGUAUGUGGAGGAUCCUGGCCUGUGCUCUUCCAGGCGUGGCUGCGGGAUGAAAAGGAUCAUUCAGUGGACAGUCAUGGGGGAAGGGUUGACUUGGUGGUGUCUUGUUUGAGAGUAUCUUGCUGUCAAUGGUGUCUACUCAAGAAAAGAGCAACAAAAAAGUCCAAAGAAUAUUCCAACAGUUUUUGUCGAAGGAAGUCAAUGAAAGCCCAAAACAAUGCAGGACCUUUCUGAAUGAAGAAAGUAAUUCAUAGAGGUUUGCAUCAACAUUUUGGGAUUAACUAUCCGUUUAAGAUUUGCAUCACUCAAGGAAUUAAACAAAGCCUCAAAUAGCUUUGACUAAUGUUAAUGUGGUUGACAAAAGAAAUUAACGAAUUGGAGAGAGGACAGUUUGUCCUUAAAACGUGGGAUUAAAAAAGAGAACUCUCACCUAAGAUCAAUAUUAGCGUUUUUUGUUAUUACCCAUUUAAUGUAUACUCUUUUUACAGUAUAAAAAUCCAAUUUAGCACGGUUUCUUGACAUUUAGCAGACUUCGUUUCUGUACAUAAUGUCAGAGCUGUGGGCGACCCCACCCACCUGCUCUUACCUUUUACCAAUCACGUGCUUCAGCUGGCUACAACUGUCUUAAUGUAAAAUUGAUUUAAAAUAACUAUUUUGUGUUACAAAACAAUCCUAGUGGCCUAGUUAAGCCAGGACCCACUGGAAGGUCAAUUUCAUAGCUGUAUUGAUGAGUAGAGCAAAGCUGUGAGAUGUGCUCCUCAUGAGGUGGGAAAAUAGGGGGAGGGGACAUAAAUCUGCAGCAGUUGUGGCUGCUUCCUCAUAUAAUGUGUCUUAGACCGUGUGUGCACAUGUGCUGUAGAGACUGAGAGGAGUGAGUUAUGUCUAGUAGGCUUGAUUGAAAUGCCUGAUGGUGAAGGCCAGUACUAUUGUUCACAUUUCUCAAUAGCAGUAAAACCCUGGGAGGAGAAUGUGCAAUUGAAAUGUGCAAGUGGUUUUUAGCAUUUUUCAUUAAAGACAAAAGAGGAUGAUAAAUUAACCAUAGUUGCCUUCGUCACAAUGUCUCUGGACGAGUCUGGCCCAGUCCUAAUCGUUGCACCUGACCUAGCCAUAAUGUCUUUGUUACACCCACACGCAUUAGCAUUAAUCCUCAGUUUCUCAAAGCCAUUGGCACGAACAGAGGACUGAAAGCCUGAUCUGACUCAACAAGUCUCAGUGUGGUUAGUCAACCCUGCAUGCCCUCCCUCCAUAAGCACACACAUAUGUGUGGUGAACUUCUGUCUUUUUUGUUCCAUUCCCAGAGUUGUUUGUAAAUGCUGUGAUCUGGGUCUUUAUUUAUUUAUUUAUUUUUUUACCAGGAGAGUUUUCGCUCACUCAGCAGUCAGAAGUGUCUAAUGCAGAUAUGACAAUAAUGUUGCCUAUUUGUUAAAUUGCCCAUAACUAUAAUGUAAGUCCUAGCUAUGUUUGUGCCAGACUUUGUGGUUUCUUGUCUCCAUGGUGUAUUGCAGUCUCUGUGAACUCACUACUUGUAAACCUCAGUUAGAUGGAGGGCGUGACCUAUAUCUCUUUCCCAAUUUGGUUGCUGAUGGGAUUGCAUACUCUCCCAAAAUUCCCUGCUCCUAUGGGGCAGUGAUUAGAUCAUCUCGACAAGCAUCUCAGCCCUGGUGGAAUUGGGAGAGCUGGGUUGUUGGCAGAAAUCCCCCAGUUUGCUUUGCUGAGAGAAGCUGAGAACUUUCUUAAAGUAGGGUUUGGAAACUUUGAGAUUAAGAAGAGGCCUGUCUGGGUCUCCAAUGGCUCAAAGCAGUUUUGUCAUUAACAAUGUGGGCUUGAGAUGGCAGACUUCUGUAUGACCCACCAGGAAUAAAGUACAACUUUCUAGUAAGUGCUGCAGCUUCAUUUGUGGUGCCAUUUUGGAGAUUCUUGUGGUUUUCCACAGAUAAUGAAUCAGAGUAAGUGGUAGACCGGAGGCUAGGAGACAGUGUGCCCCUGAUUCAGUACGUCUGAUCUAAUUGGAAUCGCCAUCGGCAACAUCAGGAUCUAAUACAUAAGAUGUUAAAAGCAUCAUGUCUUGGUCUAGUUUACAUCUGUAUUUGUUGUAUCACUUUUGCUUUGCCUCUGGCUAAAGAUAACUGAAGGCACAUGUGUGCCGUCUGUACUAUUCUUGGCCAAAAACCUUGCAAAAACAAGGACAACUUCAAAACUUCUACAUCUUUAUGGAUGGAACUAGGCCUUUUAUACUUAUCUAAGAUCAGUUUCCAUGGUCCUGGUCCUGACCUUCAUUUUUGCAAUUCAAAAUGAACAUACAGCACAGGGUUUCUACUAUAAACUCUUGUCCUCCAUUCUUGACCUGCAAGGGAUGUGUCCGUUUGGUGUCGAGAGGAUGAAUGCAAAGUCUUCUUCUAAUUCUAAGUCUGAACUGUUUUCUGAAUGACAGCAGCUGACAUUGGACUUUCAGACUAUGCUAAUUUCAGAGCAUGUUCUAGGGCAUCAAGUGUAUAUAGCCGUUGAGCAAGCUUAGAGAGUGCACUUUGAGCUCAUGGUUAUGAAGGAUUUGGAAGACCUCCCACUGGAUGUCCUCACUGCCUGCCUUAAUGUCUUCCUGCCUCUCUCACGUUUUGUCUGGCUGUUUCCAUUCCUUCCUAUGUCUCAGCCUGCAUAAGUGGCCUUACGGUUGAAGAAACGUGAGAAAUUUUAUCUCACCCACACAGAGAUGCUGGUAACUCUUGUUGGAACAGGUGAGCGACACCAAGUCUCCUGGAUCGACAUUCAGUCUGCACAGUGUGUUGCUCCGAUAGUGGCCUGAUCAGAUGUCUGUGGCUUAGACUGUUCACCUCAAAAGGCCGUUUUCUCCUAUUUCCUACAGAUUCUAGGGAGUCUGAAGUUGUUCUUUCUUUGGGCCCUCUAUAAAAUUGAACCACGGAUUUGCAAUGUGUUGUUAUACUUGAGAGAAGACAUGAGCAUGAGUUUAUUUACUGACCCAGUGGCCCCAAAAGGGAACAGUUAUGUAAGGCUGCUGUCUGUGACAUAAUGGUAUCGCCUCUGAAGGGAAACACUGUUGCUCAGCUACCUUCACUAUGGGAUGUCCUUACUAGCAACUGUGAGGUAACUGCUUCAAAGGGUAACUGGGUCACUGUGUUCGUUAACACAGAGGUCGAAUCUAAAGCUCUCCUAAUUACUGGCCCCUGUUGCGAAAAAGACUUGGGCACAUGCAGUGCUGGUUGCACCACACCAAAGAGGGUGUAGCUCAUCAGUGUGAAGACAUGCCAGUGCCCAUGCAACACAAACCACUUAAAAAAGUCUCCUUUUGUACAAGUGCCAGGAUGCAGUGCUGUGAAUAAAUAUAUUGACCACUGUCAAGGGGAUGAUUAAAGAUGACAUACAUUUUGUUGUGGGUAUUUGCAUGAACAGUAUGCCAGAAUGGGUUAAGGCCUCUCUUUUGUUUUCCCAAAGGGACAGAAAGAGGAAGUGUUUUUGACAUGGUGGAUAAAACCACAGCCACUUCCAUCUGUUAUGAAACUGUUACAGACUGGACAGUGUGACCUUUUUACAUAAGCCUACUUCAGAGCCACGUCAAGAGCGCCCUCAUUCGUGAUAAUAAUAUUCCUGGAAACAUGUCCCACUUGAACUCUUAGUCAUGUUCAUAUAAUGCAAGCAGGACAUUUCAAUCAUGGUAGUCCUGAAUGGUCUUGUCUGUAGGUGAUGUCUUUGUGUUGAGCAUAUGCUAGCUUCCCAGCGCACUAGCCUUCUUGUCUAUGGUGUUGUUAUAGAACCUAAAACUAUUAAAAUCGCUUCCUGUAAUUAAAACAAAGCUAAAA